UCAAUAAGCGGAGGAAAAGAAACUAACAAGGACUCCCCCAGUAACGGCGAGUGAAGAGGGAAGAGCUCAAAUUUGUAAUCUGGCUGUUAUGCAGUCCGAGUUGUAAUCUGUAGAAGUGUUUUCCGUGCCGGACCGUGUGUAUGUCUGUUGGAAUACGGCGUCAUAGAGGGUGAGAACCCCGUGUGCCACGCGGAUCCCGGUGCUCUGUGAUACACUUUCGAAGAGUCGAGUUGUUUGGGAAUGCAGCUCAAAGUGGGUGGUAAAUUCCAUCUAAGGCUAAAUAUUGGCGAGAGACCGAUAGCGAACCAGUACCGUGAGGGAAAGAUGAAAAGCACUUUGGAAAGAGAGUUAACAGUCCUGAAAUUGUUGAAAGGGAAACGCUUGAAGUCAGACGUGCGCUGUGGGAUUCAGCCUUCCUUCGGGUUGGUGUAUUUUCCAUGGUGCAGGCCAACAUCGAUUUCCGGGGGCGGAUAAGGACUUUGGGAACGUAGCAGCCUCGGUUGUGUUUAGCCCUCUGUUUGAUACGUCCCUGGGGAUCGAGGAACGCUCUAUAGGAUGU
rnacentral:rRNA from 1 species